rnacentral:misc_RNA from 1 species
GGUAUAAUAGCGACGCUAAUAAUGGAAAGGGUAGUUACAAUCGCAAUGUAUUUUAUGUCCGUUCAAUAACUCAUUGCACUUUAUCCGUUCGUCCUUUCUUCGAAAUGCGUGGAACGACUACAGAUCAUGGGAAACAUGGAAAAGGAUUGCUAACGAAUUUAUCUAUAAUUUAGUUAGAAAAAGUAUAAUUUGAUUAGAAUGAAACACACGGAGGAAUAGCCAUUUUACAGUGUGUUGAAACUACAAGCGUUGAAAACUCAUACUGUAUCCCUUGCCGCGAGUUGAUUCAAGACAAAACGUCUUCCAUUGUGUCCUCCAUAUCGUCGAAUAGUCAAGUUUUUUUUGACAAAAUGUUGGCCGUUCCUGCAAUAGUGGAAUGAUACUUUCCAUUGCGACGAACGACAAGAGGCGAAACAACGAUGCUAACCCUGCAAAUUAUCUUUCUCAGCAUAGUCGGAUUGGUACUACCAUCGAAGCUAAAGUCGAAUGCCAGCGAUCUUCAUAAGAUUGUCAGUAAAUUGUUUGCGGAAAAGUACGAUGGAGAAAUUCGGCCAAAUGUUGAGAAUGAUCAGCCAGUCAAGUGCUAUUUGAAUUUCAGGAUAAAUUCAAUGUCAGCUUUAAGAGAAGUGUCGAUGGAUUAUAAUGUCAAUAUCUACCUUCGACUCCGGUGGAAUGAACCUCGUCUAUCUUAUGGUCAUCAUAAGGGAUACGAAAAUGGCAGUUAUACUCUGUCGCACAAACAAUUUUCCAAGCUUUGGAUUCCCGAUGUAUUUAUUAAGAAUGAAAAGGACGGCAAACUACAUGAUUUAGUGCUACCGAAUCGAUUGUUGCGUUUGUACCCUAAUGGCAAUAUUUUGUACAGUCAAAGACUUAGCUUGACAUUAGCAUGCGAAUUGGAUUUGGCUCGUUUUCCUCUUGAUAAUCAAACGUGUAAUUUCGUCUUCGCCAGUUACGCUCAUACAUUAAAGGAUCUGGAAAUUCUUUGGGAUAACGAAAGAAACGCUACCGCUGUGGCCGAAGGCUUAAAACCACCUGAAUUUGAAUUGCUUGAAAUUAGCGGUCGUUACUGCACGUCUGGAACGUCGACAGGAGCCUACGCAUGCCUGGAAGCCAUUCUUAAAUUUCAGCGUAAAGUCAACUAUUACCUCAUUCAAGUAUAUUUACCAUCUUUGUUGGUUGUUGUUUUGUCGUGGGUCUCCUUUUGGAUCGAUACGGAUGCCGUACCGGCGAGGAUAACAUUAGGACUGUUGACAGUCCUAACGAUGACUACGCAGAGUUCUAACUUUGCCGCCAGAAUGCCUCGCGUGUCAUACGUAAAGGCCAUAGAUGUUUGGAUGGCUAUGUGUCUGGUGUUUGUAUUUGGCGCUUUAAUUGAAUAUUCCUUUGUCAACGUCCUUGCGAGAAGAGCAAAGCCAAAACAGGAGAAUAUGAUAGCCGCACUCGUUAAACAAGUACAUGUUCAUACAAAUACAGCGGCGAACGGUGGUGAGGGGAGGAGAUCGCUAGCCAAAGAUCCGAAAGGACGAGACGAAGCCGAAACAGAACUUAUGCUAAGGGACGGCGAUAAGGUGAAUACUGCUGUAUGCGCUCAGUCCUGUUCGAAGACUAUGAAGAACAAAGCAGGCUUAGUGGAUAGAUUUAGCAGGUUCAUGUUUCCUCUGGCGUUCGGUAUUUUUAACUUGUUCUACUGGGUUUUCUACUUGACAAAUAAGAGCUCUAACCAAAGACGUUGAAUUUAAAGAGAUUCUACUGCAACAACUGCUGAUUAUCCUUUACUAAGAUGGGAAAACUUCAAAUUUAUAGACAAACAAACUAUAAUUAAAAGAGAAAAAAAUGAAAAAAAGAACAGACAGUAAAUACGGUAUAGAUAAAUUGCUAAAGAAUUAUUUACUACUGUACAUACUGUACAUUCAUCCAUGUAUGUGGCCAUAAUUUAUAUGUAUACGUCAAAAUAGUAAUAGAGAUACAAAUACUAAUAAUACUACUAACGAUAGUAAUAAGAACAAUAAUAACGAUCAAAAAUAAUAUUAUUAUCCAUUACAAUAUCACAUAAUAAAGCAGAAAAAGAGGAAGAGGAAGAAAAAACUCCUGUGUGUUGUUACUAUUAAUCGCACAAUCCCGUAACUGGGUACUGGAGUAGCCUGUAGCAAAAAGCUCGUACUUUUUUAAGAUAGCUGAUGGCCC